rnacentral:rRNA from 1 species
UACGAAGGGGGCUAGCGUUGCUCGGAAUCACUGGGCGUAAAGCGCACGUAGGCGGACUCUUAAGUCGGUGGUGAAAUCCUGGAGCUCAACUCCAGAACUGCCUUCGAUACUGGGAGUCUCGAGUCCGGGAGAGGUGAGUGGAACUGCGAGUGUAGAGGUGAAAUUCGUAGAUAUUCGCAAGAACACCAGUGGCGAAGGCGGCUCACUGGCCCGGUACUGACGCUGAGGCGCGAAAGCGUGGGUAGCAAACAGG